rnacentral:lncRNA from 7 species
AACCCAUUCAUAGCCACGCAGACGUGACGCACUGUGCCUGUGCCCCCUGCUCCUCGCCCUUCAUCCACCGCCAUGCUCCUGCAGAGCCCCCAGCUGCUUUACCUGCAGGAGCUGCGGCCUCCCGCCCGCUGGGGUGUGAGAACAGAUCGUGUUUACGUUGUCACGGGCAACGGACCAUAGGACACAGGUCUUCCGGUGUGCCGGCAAUGGCAUGCAGGUGAGCUGCGAGGUUAAGGGAACGUGCAGAUCCAAGCUGCCGUCUUCAACAUCCUCGUUUCAAGAAAAGGAACGGGAAGCUUCAAGACAAGCUGCACCCACAAUUGUUCCUUGAGAUUACAUGAUGCUCCGCUUGACCAUCGUGGAGUUGUACAUACUAGAUGAAUGCAGUUUAAACGUGCAUGUGAGCAGGCAAGGAAAAGCUAUGGUAAUCGUCUCUGUAACUGAAAUCCACAGAGAAUUCUUGAUUUUAUUAAUG